UGUAUCAACAGGAAUUUCAAGACGCAAAAUCCUCUUCACGGUGUAUGAACUAGGACUUGCUGGGGCACCUUGCCAAUCCAUUGACAUCCCAGGUGGUCCGCUCAGUCUCUGUCAAAAUACAAAAAAGAAACGGCUUCGGCACAAAAGAAGAGA